rnacentral:tRNA from 2 species
GCGGACGUGGUGGAAUUGGUAUACACGACAGACUUAAAAUCUGUUGACCGUAAGGUCAUGCGGGUUCAAGUCCCGCCGUCCGCACCA